UACGUAGGGUGCAAGCGUUGUCCGGAAUUAUUGGGCGUAAAGAGCUCGUAGGCGGUUCGUCGCGUCGGCUGUGAAAACCCGGAGCUCAACUCCGGGCCUGCAGUCGAUACGGGCAGACUAGAGUUCGGUAGGGGAGUCUGGAAUUCCUGGUGUAGCGGUGAAAUGCGCAGAUAUCAGGAGGAACACCGGUGGCGAAGGCGGGACUCUGGGCCGAUACUGACGCUGAGGAGCGAAAGCGUGGGGAGCGAACAGG
rnacentral:rRNA from 1 species